UCUCUCUCUCUCUCUCUCUCUCUUCUUUCACUUCCUUGGCAAGCAAGGCAGGGAAAGGUCUCCGAGGAGCUCCGACUGACUUUUUUACUCAAACCCCAGAAGUGUCGACUAGAGAAGAGGAGGAUCAAGCCUCUAGUGGACAGUUAUGAUCCAUCUCUCAAAAAGCUGUGAUCUUUUUUGCUGUUCCAAUUGACAAGCAUUAGCAAAGUAAAGCCAUUUAGGCAGUCAAACAAAAUGGAUCUUCCAGAGAUGUGGGGAAAAAGAAGCUUACUCUCCGAAGUUGGAAAGAGAAUUGAAGACCCUAUUUGUGGCUGCAGGAAAGGAAGGGAGCCCAGCAAGGAAACUACCAGCAGAUGAAGCUGAUCCCAGCUAUGUCAACAUAAGUUAAGGUCUGGGAGAUCCCACCAAGCUGGAAAGGUGUCAAGUAAGGCCCUGCUGACAAAUUGUGCAUCUGUCAUCCAAGGACCAACCCAGCUGAGUCUGGAAAGCUUCAUCACCAGGAGGCUGGAUACCAGUGCUCUUCUCAGCAGAACAGAAACAAUGUUCCCAGGGAGAACUCCUACCAUACUAUAAAGAGUAAAUUAG